rnacentral:rRNA from 1 species
UUCUUAAAGAAAUAAUUUUAAGUAAAAUCUGCUCAAUGAAUUAAAUAGCCGCAAUAUAAUGUGCUAAGGUAGCAUAAUAAUUUACCUAUUCAUUAUAGGAUAGUAUGAAAGAUUCAACAAUUCAAUUUCUUUAUUAAAUAAAAAUAUUGAAUUUAAAUAUAAAGUAAAAAUACUUUUUUAAAUUAAAAAGACGAUAAGACCCUAUCGAACUUAACCUAUGUUUAGUUGGGGAAACUAAUUAAUAAUAAUUUUAAUUUAAAUAUUUAAAUAUAUACCUAAUUAAAUUAUAUCAAACAAGUUACCGUAGGGAUAACAGCGCAAUCAUUUUCUAAAGUUCUUAUUUAAAAAAUGGAUUACGACCUCGAUGUUGAAUUAUAAAUUACUUAUAAGAGAAAAGUCUUUUAAAGUUAGUCUGUUCGACUAUUAAAUUUAUACA